rnacentral:rRNA from 1 species
UACGUAGGGUGCAAGCGUUGUCCGGAAUUAUUGGGCGUAAAGAGCUCGUAGGCGGUCUGUCGCGUCGGCUGUGAAAACCCGAGGCUCAACCUCGGGCCUGCAGUCGAUACGGGCAAACUGGAGUGUUGCAGGGGAGACUGGAAUUCCUGGUGUAGCGGUGAAAUGCGCAGAUAUCAGGAGGAACACCGGUGGCGAAGGCGGGUCUCUGGGCAGCAACUGACGCUGAGGAGCGAAAGCGUGGGGAGCGAACAGG